rnacentral:lncRNA from 1 species
GGCAGAUUUCCGUUCACUGUCUGAUUUCCUAGUAAGGAAAUUUUCGUUCAUUGAGUCUACCUUAGGUAAAUCUUAGGAUGCUUCUGUUUUAAUGUAGAAGGAUUAUCAUUGUUUGCUCCUUUUCUCCUUCAUUCCGUUCUGUCUUGCUUCACACAUAGCCACAUACACACAGAUCCAGCCCCAUUCCCUGAUUCAGCAACAGCAGCAGAUCCACCUCCAGCAGAAGCAAGUGGUGAUCCAGCAGCAGAUUGCCAUCCACCACCAGCAACAGUUCCAACACCGCCAGUCCCAGCUACUUCACACAGCCACGCACCUCCAGUUGGCCCAGCAGCAGCAGCAGCAGCAGCAACAGCAGCAGCAGCAGCAGCAGCAGCAGCAGCAGCAGCAGCAGCAGCAGCAGCAGCAACAGCAAGCAACAACUCUCGCUGCCCCUCAGCCACCCCAGGUCCCACCUACUCAGCAGGUCCCACCUUCCCAGUCGCAACAGCAAGCCCAGACUCUGGUGGUCCAACCCAUGCUUCAGUCUUCACCCCUGUCUCUUCCACCUGAACCAACUCCCAAACCACCUAUUCCCAUUCAGUCCAAACCUCCUGUAGCUCCUAUCAAACCUCCUCAACUAGGAGCUGCUAAGAUGUCAGCUACACAGCAGCCACCACCACAUAUCCCUGUGCAAGUUGUCGGUACCCGGCAGCCAGGUACAGCCCAGGCACAGGCUUUGGGAUUAGCGCAACUGGCAGCUGCUGUACCUACUUCCCGGGGGAUGCCAGGGGCAGUCCAGCCUGGCCAGGCC